rnacentral:rRNA from 1 species
GGUGAGUAAUGCAUCGGAACGUACCUAGUCGUGGGGGAUAACGUAGCGAAAGUUACGCUAAUACCGCAUACAUCCUACGGGAGAAAGCAGGGGAUCGCAAGACCUUGCGCGAUUAGAGCGGCCGAUGUCUGAUUAGCUAGUUGGUGGGGUAAAGGCCUACCAAGGCUUCGAUCAGUAGCGGGUCUGAGAGGAUGAUCCGCCACACUGGGACUGAGACACGGCCCAGACUCCUACGGGAGGCAGCAGUGGGGAAUUUUGGACAAUGGGGCAACCCUGAUCCAGCCAUUCCGCGUGAGUGAAGAAGGCCUUCGGGUUGUAAAGCUCUUUCGGCAGGAACGAAACGGUUACGGCUAAUACCCGUGACUACUGACGGUACCUGAAGAAGAAGCACCGGCUAACUCCGUGCCAGCAGCCGCGGUAAUACGGAGGGUGCUAGCGUUGUUCGGAAUUAUUGAGCGUAAAGCGCGUGUAGGCUGUUGGAUAAGUCAGAUGUGAAAGCCUUCCGCUCAACGGAAGAAGUGCAUUUGAAACUGCUCGGCUAGAGUACGGGAGAGGAGAGUGGAAUUCCCGGUGUAGAGGUGAAAUUCGUAGAUAUCGAGAGGUACACCAGUGGCGAAGGCGGCUCUCUGGUCCGAUACUGACGCUGAGACGCGAAAGCGUGGGGAGCACACAGGAUUAGAUACCCUGGUAGUCCACGCCCGUAAACCAUGAGCACUAGGUGUAGGAGGUAUUGACCCCUUUCUGUGCCGAAGCUAACGCAUUAAGUGCCCCUGCCUGGGUAGUACAGCCCGCAGGCUU